AACGUAGGAGACAAACGUUAUCCGGAGUUACUGGGCGUAAAGGGCGUGUAGGUGGUUUCGUAAGUCUGGCGUGAAAUAUCUCGGCUUAACCGAGGCAGGUCGUCGGAUACUGCGGAACUAGAGGACGGUAGAGGCGUGUGGAAUUCCGGGUGUAGUGGUGAAAUGCGUAGAGAUCCGGAGGAACACCAGUGGCGAAGGCGACACGCUGGGCCGUACCUGACACUGAUGCGCGAAAGCCAGGGGAGCAAACGGG
rnacentral:rRNA from 1 species